CUGGGAACCGUUGGUGUUUGGCCCGGCAUUGGCCAUGCUCAGCAGACCCACUUUGUCAUGCUACAGAAGGAAGAAAAGCACCAAACGAUGCUCUCACCCCCAGUGCCAUUAUGGUUGGAGAAAUCCCCUCCCUGGAUCAUGAACUUCUUGAUGACUGCAAAACACAAAUGGAAAACCAAACCAAGGCUCUGUCCGUUCUCGCCAAAGUGGAAGUGUUGCAUUAUGGAUGAAGACGAUGCUGCUGUUCAACACUGUUCAAACCUGAGACGCUUUCACUUAUUCAUUUGARUAAAAACACACACAGCAGUUCACCAACAACUGAUGCCUCAGCAAACUCAUCAGCAGCUGCUGCUCAAGGUCAAGUUUAGCAUUAUAAUUUUUUU